UUAAUGGAGAGUUUGAUCCUGGCUCAGGACGAACGCUGGCGGCGUGCCUAAUACAUGCAAGUCGAGCGGGGUUAGUUAGAAGCUUGCUUCUAAAUAACCUAGCGGCGGACGGGUGAGUAACACGUAGGCAACCUGCCCACAAGACAGGGAUAACUACCGGAAACGGUAGC
rnacentral:rRNA from 1 species